rnacentral:rRNA from 1 species
UACGGAGGGUGCGAGCGUUGUCCGGAAUCAUUGGGCGUAAAGCGCGCGUAGGCGGCCCGCUAAGUCUGAUGUGAAAGCCCGGGGCUCACCCCCGGAAGUGCAUUGGAAACUGGUGGACUCGAGUCCCGGAGAGGAGAGUGGAAUUCCUGGUGUAGCGGUGAAAUGCGUAGAUAUCAGGAGGAACACCGGUGGCGAAGGCGGCUCUCUGGACGGUGACUGACGCUGAGACGCGAAAGCGUGGGGAGCAAACAGG